rnacentral:tRNA from 1 species
GGUAAAAUGGCUGAAUUUUAGGCGUUAGAUUGUAAAUCUAUUUAUAAAGUAAAUACUUUUUUUACCA